GCAAAGAAUCAAUCUGAAAACAAAACUCAGACAUCUAGAUUCACAAGGGUAAUCUCGUGCCUUUUUUGGUUUAAAUAGACAUGUGAUGCUCUUUGUUUUUGUUUUUUUUUUCCUACUUACAUAGGUGAACAUUUGUCAAUGUAUCUGGAUAUGGCUGAUUUCGCAACGUUGCCGUAUAAUUGGAGUCGAUACACAGUCUUUAGCUUUUCGGUCAGCAGGUUCUUAGAAGAUUUAUAAAGAUAGAUACUGAAUUGCGUUCACCUGUGGACAAAGAUGAAAUUAUAUCUAAGUGGCAAGACAGCUCGGUGUGUAUAUUGAGCGUGAAAACCUGCAGACAAAAAACUUCUGGUGCUGAAGGUGAACGAUUAAAAAGAAGCUGCAAAUAUAAAUAAGUCACUAUCCACACUCGGAUAGCCAUAGAACAACGAAAUGCGAAGAGUAAGAAGAGUGUGCUAUUGAAGAUCCGGCUGGAUAUGAAAGUGAAGGAGAAGAUCGGAGUUAUCGUCAGAGCACUUUCUGUGUAAUAGCACUUUCUGGAUCAAUUGGUGUAUUGAAAGAGGAGUUAUUGGUGUUAAAGAAAUCAACGAAUCAGCCGGUGCUUGAAGAGUUCGUACCACUUAAGAUUAAGAAAACUUGUGAUGAAGAUCCAAAGGUUGAGACCGAUUCCGGUGAUAAGAGGAAUUGGUUGAGCUCUACUCAGCUAUGGAACCCGAAUCAAAACCAUGUUCCGAAACAGAAUUCAGUGGAUCAAGUAAUUCAAAAGGUAUAAAUAAUAAAGUAAGGUAACAUUUUUUGGCUUAUAAAACUGCAGCAAGCAGUACCUUGGCUUCAACUUUUCAUUUAAGAGAUAAUUUUUAGUCUUUUAUAAUAACUUAGGUUAAAUGUCUAUUCACUUUUGGUCAAUCAGAUGUUUGUUUUUCCUUUUGUAAUCUUUGUUUUUGAAACAGAGGUUAGGAUUUCAAACAGUGGUAUGACAAACAAAUGUUUGAAACCUCUGUUUGGUUACAAACAGAGUCUUGAGAAACAGUGAUUUGGCGAAACAGAUAUUACCCUUUACAAACAGAGGUUGACUUUGGUCAAACAGUGUUUUAACUUUGGUCAAACAGACUUUUGAACCACUAAGAAUCAUAUUUUUGCAAACAGUGGUUUGACUUUGGUCAAACAGAGGUUAGGAUUUCAAACAGUGGUAUGACAAACAGAUGUUUGAAACCUCUGAUUGGUUACAAACAGAGUCUUGAGAAAUAGUGAUUUGGCUAAACAGAGAUUACCCUUUACAAACAGAGGUUGACUUUGGUCAAACAGUGUUUUAACUUUGGUCAAACAGACUUUUGAACCACUAAGAAUCAUAUUUUUGCAAACAGUUGUUUGACUUUGGUCAAAUAGACUUUUUUUUUUUGCAAACAGUUUUUUGACUUUGGUCAAACAGUGGUCAAACUGCAUUACAAGAGUCAAGCCAGGAUGAAGUCGAGCUCAGGUUCAAAGGUUAAACUAAGUCGCCUUGACUGGGAGUGAGAUUGACUUAUAUCGCUAUUAGUUAUAUUAGAAAGAACAGUUAACACACCAGGUUAGUUCCUUUUAUAGAUCUUGUAGAGUUGUAUUGCACUUAUUAUCAUUUUUAGCGUAGUUCUUCAACUAUAACAUUCAAAGCAAAGCAAACCAGCCGGUUCGACCAGUUUGAGAUUUAUAUUGAUAUUGUUCGAUUUUUACUGUUUGAUUUGGUAGUUUGAUGGUUUAACAGACGACCGGCCAACUAUUUGAUUAAGCAUCUUAAAGUUGAAGUUGGUAAAGGAAAAUGUAGGAUCCGAGUCAACGAUAUAGAAGGCGAAAGCAAGGAACUUUUGACAAUACGAAGCCACUUUGUGAUAAAGAUUUUCAUUUGUUCAAAUAUCGUUUUCAGCUCCUUCUGCAUUUAUAGAGAUAGCCAAAGACCGAAUGUUCAAGCCCUCUUUGUCAACCAUCAUAUCUAAAACUUCAAGGUUCGUUUUACCCACACCAUGAAAUGGAUGAGUAAUCAAGAAGCACAAUCGGUCUGUUUUUGUUAGAGUCUAAGUGUGGAAGAAUGUUAAUUCCUGCUUUCAAUGUUAGUUAAGCUGUUAACAGCAGGGAUAGCUUGUAUAUGAUGAAGUUUAUAUGUUUGAAUCAGUGAAUCUAUUUAUUGUGCAAAGGUAUUUUUGGGUUUUGUUCAAUUGUAUACUCGAUAUGUAUGAAUUUGAAGAUGAUCGCACAUUAAUUUGGUAUGUAUAUUUUCUAAAGACUACCCGUGUUUUUACACGGGCAUUUGGCUC
rnacentral:lncRNA from 1 species